UGUGUGUGUGUGAGUGUGUGUGUGAGUGAGUGAGUGUGUGUGUGUGUGUGUGUGUGUGUGUGUGUGUGUGUGUGAGUGUGUGUGUGAGUGUGUGUGUGUGUGUGUGUGUUUGUGUGUGUGUGUGUGUGAGUGAGUUUGUGUGUGUGUGAGAGUGUGUGUGUGUGUGUGUGUGUGAGUGUGUGUGUGUGUGUGUGUGUGUUUGUGUGUGUGUGUGUGUGUGAGUGAGUUUGUGUGUGUGUGAGAGUGUGUGUGUGUGUGUGAGUGUGUGUGUGUGUGAGUGUGUGUGUGUGUGUGUGUGUGAAUGUGUGUGUGUGUGUGUGAGUGUGUGUGUGUGUCGUGGAGUUUGUGUUCAUUUGAGUGUGAAGGAGGUUUUUGUACGACGCUUUCACUAGAAUGAAACACUGUGGUGGACUUUUGGUGGAGGAACUAAACUGACGAUCAGAACUGGUCCCGCAGUGAAGCCCUCCGUGUCUCUGCUGCCUCCCUCUUCUCUGCAGAUCUCUGGAGACUCAGCCGCACUGCUCUGUCUGCUCAGCUCUUACUCUCCACAGGGGGCGCAGGUGAGCUGGACGCUGGACGGGUCAGAGGUCACCGAGGGGGUUCAGACCAGCGCAGAGAGCGAGCGGGACGGACGCUACAGCCGCAGCAGCGUCCUGAGCCUCAGCAAAGCACGCUGGGAAGCCGGCGAGCGCUUCGUCUGCAGAGUAACACAUGACGGAGCUGCUCAGGAGAACUCGUUCCUCAAGAGCUCCGAGUGCUGAUGUUUCUCCAGUGAAGAGCAGCAGGAUUCACAGCAGUCUCCUGAUUUACAGCUCAAUACUCAAGCAGUCUUUCAAUGUGCUGCCAUUGCUGUUCAUUCAAUAAAGCUUCUGAACGCCUUA